AGCAUGUGAUAGCAAGGGCCGGGCAAGACCGGUGCCAGCCGCCGCGGUAACACCGGCGGCCCGAGUGGUAAUCACUAUUAUUGGGUCUAAAGGGUCCGUAGCCGGUUUAAUCAGUCUUCCGGGAAAUCUGACAGCUCAACUGUUAGGCUUCCGGGGGAUACUGUUAGACUUGGGACCGGGAGAGGUAAGAGGUACUACAGGGGUAGGAGUGAAAUCUUGUAAUCCCUGUGGGACCACCAGUGGCGAAGGCGUCUUACCAGAACGGGUCCGACGGUGAGGGACGAAAGCUGGGGGCACGAACCGGAUUAGAUACCCGGGUAGUCCCAGCCGUAAACGAUGCUCGCUAGGUGUCUGGAAUGGUGCGACCGUUUCAGGUGCCGCAGGGAAGCCGUGAAGCGAGCCACCUGGGAAGUACGGCCGCAAGGCUGAAACUUAAAGGAAUUGGCGGGGGAGCACUACAACGGGUGGAGCCUGCGGUUUAAUUGGACUCAACGCCGGACAACUCACCGGGGGCGACAGCAAUAUGUAGGUCAAGCUAAAGACUUUACCUGAAUCGCUGAGAGGAGGUGCAUGGCCGUCGUCAGUUCGUACUGUGAAGCAUCCUGUUAAGUCAGGCAACGAGCGAGACCCGUGCCCACUGUUGCCAGCAUAUCCUUUGGGAUGAUGGGUACUCUGUGGGGACCGCCGAUGCUAAAUCGGAGGAAGGUGCGGGCUACGGUAGGUCAGUAUGCCCCGAAUCUCCCGGGCGACACGCGGGCUACAAUGGUUGGGACAAUGGGCUCCUACACUGAAAAGUGACGGUAAUCUCAUAAACCCAGCCGUAGUUCGAAUUGAGGGCUGAAACCCGCCCUCAUGAAGCUGGAAUCCGUAGUAAUCGCGUCUCAAUAUAGCGCGGUGAAUACGUCCCUGCUCCUUGCACUCACCGCCCGUCAA
rnacentral:rRNA from 1 species